rnacentral:rRNA from 1 species
GGUAACACUGAAUGGAGGACCGAACCGACUUACGUUGAAAAGUGAGCGGAUGAACUGAGGGUAGCGGAGAAAUUCCAAUCGAACCUGGAGAUAGCUGGUUCUCUCCGAAAUAGCUUUAGGGCUAGCCUCAAGUGAUGAUUAUUGGAGGUAGAGCACUGUUUGGACGAGGGGCCCCUCUCGGGUUACCGAAUUCAGACAAACUCCGAAUGCCAAUUAAUUUAACUUGGGAGUCAGAACAUGGGUGAUAAGGUCCGUGUUCGAAAGGGAAACAGCCCAGACCACCAGCUAAGGUCCCAAAAUAUAUGUUAAGUGGAAAAGGAUGUGGCGUUGCCCAGACAACUAGGAUGUUGGCUUAGAAGCAGCCAUCAUUUAAAGAGUGCGUAAUAGCUCACUAGUCGAGUGACACUGCGCCGAAAAUGUACCGGGGCUAAACAUAUUACCGAAGCUGUGGAUUGUCCUUUGGACAAUGGUAGGAGAGCGUUCUAAGGGCGUUGAAGCAUGAUCGUAAGGACAUGUGGAGCGCUUAGAAGUGAGAAUGCCGGUGUGAGUAGCGAAAGACGGGUGAGAAUCCCGUCCACCGAUUGACUAAGGUUUCCAGAGGAAGGCUCGUCCGCUCUGGGUUAGUCGGGUCCUAAGCUGAGGCCGACAGGCGUAGGCGAUGGAUAACAGGUUGAUAUUCCUGUACCACCUAUAAUCGUUUUAAUCGAUGGGGGGACGCAGUAGGAUAGGCGAAGCGUGCGAUUGGAUUGCACGUCUAAGCAGUAAGGCUGAGUAUUAGGCAAAUCCGGUACUCGUUAAGGCUGAGCUGUGAUGGGGAGAAGACAUUGAGUCUUCGAGUCGUUGAUUUCACACUGCCGAGAAAAGCCUCUAGAUAGAAAAUAGGUGCCCGUACCGCAAACCGACACAGGUAGUCAAGAUGAGAAUUCUAAGGUGAGCGAGCGAACUCUCGUUAAGGAACUCGGCAAAAUGACCCCGUAACUUCGGGAGAAGGGGUGCUCUUUAGGGUUAACGCCCAGAAGAGCCGCAGUGAAUAGGCCCAAGCGACUGUUUAUCAAAAACACAGGUCUCUGCUAAACCGUAAGGUGAUGUAUAGGGGCUGACGCCUGCCCGGUGCUGGAAGGUUAAGAGGAGUGGUUAGCUUCUGCGAAGCUACGAAUCGAAGCCCCAGUAAACGGCGGCCGUAACUAUAACGGUCCUAAGGUAGCGAAAUUCCUUGUCGGGUAAGUUCCGACCCGCACGAAAGGCGUAACGAUUUGGGCACUGUCUCAACGAGAGACUCGGUGAAAUCAUAGUACCUGUGAAGAUGCAGGUUACCCGCGACAGGACGGGAAGACCCCGUGGAGCUUUACUGUAGCCUGAUAUUGAAAUUCGGCACAGCUUGUACAGGAUAGGUAGGAGCCUUUGAAACGUGAGCGCUAGCUUACGUGGAGGCGCUGGUGGGAUACUACCCUAGCUGUGUUGGCUUUCUAACCCGCACCACUUAUCGUGGUGGGAGACAGUGUCAGGCGGGCAGUUUGACUGGGGCGGUCGCCUCCUAAAAGGUAACGGAGGCGCUCAAAGGUUCCCUCAGAAUGGUUGGAAAUCAUUCAUAGAGUGUAAAGGCAUAAGGGAGCUUGACUGCGAGACCUACAAGUCGAGCAGGGUCGAAAGACGGACUUAGUGAUCCGGUGGUUCCGCAUGGAAGGGCCAUCGCUCAACGGAUAAAAGCUACCCCGGGGAUAACAGGCUUAUCUCCCCCAAGAGUUCACAUCGACGGGGAGGUUUGGCACCUCGAUGUCGGCUCAUCGCAUCCUGGGGCUGUAGUCGGUCCCAAGGGUUGGGCUGUUCGCCCAUUAAAGCGGUACGCGAGCUGGGUUCAGAACGUCGUGAGACAGUUCGGUCCCUAUCCGUCGUGGGCGUAGGAAAUUUGAGAGGAGCUGUCCUUAGUACGAGAGGACCGGGAUGGACAUACCUCUGGUGUACCAGUUGUCGUGCCAACGGCAUAGCUGGGUAGCUAUGUGUGGACGGGAUAAGUGCUGAAAGCAUCUAAGCAUGAAGCCCCCCUCAAGAUGAGAUUUCCCAACUUCGGUUAUAAGAUCCCUCAAAGAUGAUGAGGUUAAUAGGUUCGAGGUGGAAGCAUGGUGACAUGUGGAGCUGACGAAUACUAA